AUGCAAGUCGAACGAAAAUACCAAGCUUGCUUGGUUGAUUAGUGGCGAACGGGUGAGUAACACGUGAGUAACCUGCCCCUUACUUUCCUGGAUAACUGCUCGAAAGGGUAGCUAAUACGGGAUAUUCUGACCAUCCUGCAUGGGUUGGUUUGGAAAGGUUGUUUUUCUGGUAAGGGAUGGGCUCGCGGCCUAUCAGCUUGUUGGUGGGGUGAUGGCCUACCAAGGCUUUGACGGGUAGCCGGCCUGAGAGGGUGGACGGUCACACUGGGACUGAGAUACGGCCCAGACUCCUACGGGAGGCAGCAGUGGGGAAUAUUGCACAAUGGGCGCAAGCCUGAUGCAGCGACGCCGCGUGAGGGAUGAAGGCCUUCGGGUUGUAAACCUCUUUCGUCAGGGAACAAGGCACUGCUUUUUUGGUGGUGUUGAGGGUACCUGGAUAAGAAGCGCCGGCUAACUACGUGCCAGCAGCCGCGGUAAUACGUAGGGCGCAAGCGUUGUCCGGAAUUAUUGGGCGUAAAGAGCUCGUAGGCGGCUGGUCGCGUCUGUCGUGAAAACUUCCGGCUCAACCGGGGGCUUGCGGUGGGUACGGGCCGGCUAGAGUGCGGUAGGGGUAACUGGACUCCUGGUGUAGCGGUGGAUGCGCAGAUAUCAGGAAGAACACCGAUGGCGAAGGCAGGUUACUGGGCCGUUACUGACGCUGAGGAGCGAAAGCGUGGGGAGCGAACAG
rnacentral:rRNA from 1 species